AUGAUUCUUUCGGGAUGAAUUCCAAAGAGGAAAGUGGCGGACGGGCGAGUAACGCGUGAGUAACCUGCCCAUAAGAGGGGGAUAAUCCAUGGAAACGUGGACUAAUACCGCAUAUUGUAGUUAAGUUGCAUGACUUGAUUAUGAAAGAUUUAUCGCUUAUGGAUGGACUCGCGUCAGAUUAGAUAGUUGGUGAGGUAACGGCUCACCAAGUCAACGAUCUGUAGCCGAACUGAGAGGUUGAUCGGCCGCAUUGGGACUGAGACACGGCCCAGACUCCUACGGGAGGCAGCAGUGGGGAAUAUUGCGCAAUGGGGGCAACCCUGACGCAGCAACGCCGCGUGCAGGAAGAAGGUCUUCGGAUUGUAAACUGUUGUCGCAAGGGAAGAAGACAGUGACGGUACCUUGUGAGAAAGUCACGGCUAACUACGUGCCAGCAGCCGCGGUAAUACGUAGGUGACAAGCGUUGUCCGGAUUUACUGGGUGUAAAGGGCGCGUAGGCGGACUGUCAAGUCAGUCGUGAAAUACCGGG
rnacentral:rRNA from 1 species